CAAUAGCGUAUAUUAAAGUUGUUGCAGUUAAAAAGCUCGUAGUUGGAUUUCUGGGGGGUGCGACCGGUCGGCCCCGCAAGGGGUGCGCACUUGCGUCGCCGCUCUUCAUCCUUCGGACGAACGUGUCUGGCAUUAGGUUGUCGGGCUCGGGAGUCCGAUCAUUUACUGUGAAAAAAUUAGAGUGUUUAAAGCAGGCGUUUGCCAGAAUACAUUAGCAUGGAAUAAUAAGAUAGGACUUUGGUGCUAUUUUGUUGGUUUGCACACCAAGGUAAUGAUUAAUAGGGAUAGUUGGGGGUAUUCAUAUUCAAUUGUCAGAGGUGAAAUUCUUGGAUUUAUGGAAGAUGAACUUAUGCGAAAGCAUUUACCAAGGAUGUUUUCAUUAA
rnacentral:rRNA from 1 species